rnacentral:rRNA from 1 species
UACGUAGGUGGCAAGCGUUGUCCGGAUUUAUUGGGUUUAAAGGGUGCGUAGGCGGCUUUGUAAGUCAGUGGUGAAAUAUGGCAGCUUAACUGUGAAGGUGCCAUUGAUACUGCAGAGCUUGAGUACAGAUGAGGUAGGCGGAAUUGACGGUGUAGCGGUGAAAUGCUUAGAUAUCGUCAAGAACACCUAUAGCGAAGGCAGCUUACUAAGCUGUAACUGACGCUGAGGCACGAAAGUGUGGGGAGCAAACAGG